rnacentral:rRNA from 1 species
GAUGAACGCUGGCGGCGUGCUUAACACAUGCAAGUCGAACGGAAAGGCCAGUGCUUGCACUGGUACUCGAGUGGCGAACGGGUGAGUAACACGUGGGUGAUCUGCCCUGCACUUCGGGAUAAGCCUGGGAAACUGGGUCUAAUACCGGAUAGGACAAUGGUUUGGAUGCCGUUGUGGAAAGUUUUUUCGGUGUGGGAUGAGCUCGCGGCCUAUCAGCUUGUUGGUGGGGUAAUGGCCUACCAAGGCGUCGACGGGUAGCCGGCCUGAGAGGGUGUACGGCCACAUUGGGACUGAGAUACGGCCCAGGCUCCUACGGGAGGCAGCAGUGGGGAAUAUUGCACAAUGGGCGCAAGCCUGAUGCAGCGACGCCGCGUGGGGGAUGACGGCCUUCGGGUUGUAAACUCCUUUCGCUAGGGACGAAGCGUAUUUGUGACGGUACCUGGAGAAGAAGCACCGGCUAACUACGUG